GGGGCGAGGCUCUUCGGAGCGAGUAAGUGGCGGACGGGUGAGUAACGCGUGGGAAUCUGCCCAGUAGUUGGGAACCACUUGGGGAAACUCGAGCUAAUACCGAAUACGCCCUACGGGGGAAAGGCUUCGGCCGCUAUUGGAUGAGCCCGCGUAAGAUUAGCUUGUUGGUGGGGUAAUGGCCUACCAAGGCGACGACCUUUAGCUGGUCUGAGAGGACGAUCAGCCACACUGGGACUGAGACACGGCCCAGACUCCUACGGGAGGCAGCAGUGGGGAAUAUUGGACAAUGGGGGAAACCCUGAUCCAGCAAUGCCGCGUGUGUGAAGAAGGCCUGCGGGUUGUAAAGCACUUUCAGUAGGGAAGAAAAAAAUGACGGUACCUACAAAAGAAGCACCGGCUAACUCCGUGCCAGCAGCCGCGGUAAUACGGAGGGUGCGAGCGUUAAUCGGAAUUACUGGGCGUAAAGCGCACGUAGGUGGUUUGAUAAGUCGGAUGUGAAAUCCCCGGGCUUAACCUGGGAAUUGCAUUCGAUACUGUCUCACUAGAGUCUAGCAGAGGAAUGCGGAAUUCCGGGUGUAGCGGUGAAAUGCGUAGAGAUCCGGAGGAACAUCAGUGGCGAAGGCGGCAUUCUGGGCUGAGACUGACACUGA
rnacentral:rRNA from 1 species